AUGCUCGCGGCCACUAGCCUCCCCGGUGCUCUAGCCUCCCCGGUGCUCAGGAGGAAGUCGAGGAGCACCGCCGUCCUCUUCUCCGUCGACUUCAACCAUCGGAGCAAGUUGGGAGGGCCUUGCGCGUUGCCAUCGAGCUCAUCUCCGCCUCUGCAUCUUGGCGCUCGCCUUCUUCGAUUCGGCCUCGCCGGAGCCUCCCCGAGCCCACUUUGCACCUCUACAGGCUCAUUGUGA
rnacentral:rRNA from 1 species